GUGGGGAAUUUUGGACAAAGGGGGCAACCCUGAUCCAGCCAUGCCGCGUGCGGGAAGAAGGCCUUCGGGUUGUAAACCGCUUUUGUCAGGGAAGAAAUCCUUUGGGUUAAUACCUCGGAGGGAUGACGGUACCUGAAGAAUAAGCACCGGCUAACUACGUGCCAGCAGCCGCGGUAAUACGUAGGGUGCGAGCGUUAAUCGGAAUUACUGGGCGUAAAGCGUGCGCAGGCGGUUUUGUAAGAUCGAUGUGAAAUCCCCGGGCUCAACCUGGGAACUGCAUUGGUGACUGCAAGGCUGGAGUGCGGCAGAGGGGGAUGGAAUUCCGCGUGUAGCAGUGAAAUGCGUAGAUAUGCGGAGGAACACCGAUGGCGAAGGCAAUCCCCUGGGCCUGCACUGACGCUCAUGCACGAAAGCGUGGGGAGCAAACAGGAUUAGAAACCCGGGUAGUCC
rnacentral:rRNA from 1 species